GGGUCGAAGCAAAAAUGGGUCCCCCACCUACACCUGUCAAGCCUCGAACUCGCUUCCGCUUAGGACGCUACGGCGAGACGCAUUGCACCAGCUUUGGCUUGGUCUUACUAGUGUCCCCGUGGCUCGCUGUCGCUUGCCGCGGUGCCCCCAUCUCGUCCUUGAGGCUUCGCUCCUCUCCCAUCUAAGAUCGACUCACACAAUUUGUAAUUUUAGUCAACUGAGAAUUAGCAAAAGCAAAAUUCGUUCGGUUAUAGAAAAUAUGAAUGAACAAACCUUUUAGCGUGAAACAAAUAAUUUGUUUCAACUCUGUACCGACGAGCAAACAGAAGUCACAUGUAUUCAACACACACUUCGAUCAGGUGGUGAUCGAUACUUCUCAUGAGGCGGUUGAGGCAGACGCUCCAUGCAUGAGUUGAUCGAUCACACCAAAGUUGAG
rnacentral:lncRNA from 1 species